UACGGAGGGUGCGAGCGUUGUCCGGAAUCAUUGGGCGUAAAGGGCGCGUAGGUGGCCCGGUCAGUUCGUGGUGAAAGCGCGGGGCUCAACCCUGCGUCGGCCAUGAAUACUGCCGCGGCUGGAGCACUGUAGAGGCAGGCGGAAUUCCGGGUGUAGCGGUGGAAUGCGUAGAGAUCCGGAAGAACACCGGUGGCGAAGGCGGCCUGCUGGGCAGUUGCUGACACUGAGGCGCGACAGCGUGGGGAGCAAACAGGG
rnacentral:rRNA from 1 species